rnacentral:rRNA from 1 species
UACGUAGGGUCCGAGCGUUGUCCGGAAUUACUGGGCGUAAAGCGCACGUAGGCGGCUUCUUAAGUCGGUGGUGAAAUCCUGGAGCUCAACUCCAGAACUGCCUCGAUACUGGGAGCUCGAGUCCGGGAGAGGUGAGUGGAACUGCGAGUGUAGAGGUGAAAUUCGUAGAUAUUCGCAAGAACACCAGUGGCGAAGGCGGCUCACUGGCCCGGUACUGACGCUGAGGUGCGAAAGCGUGGGGAGCAAACA